AGAUGUGAGGGUGAUCUGGCUGUAACAUCUGUCACUCCAUUAAUUCCCAGGGUUGAUUCAGCUGAUCUGGCUGGCUACGUGACUGUUCCCUUCCUCUCUCACCUCUCCAUGUACAUCCCUCCCAAAGCUGUGCGCUUGGUCAAAGAGGACAACCAUCCUCGAUAGAGGAGGACUAGUCUUCAGUCAAGGGUAUACACAUAGCUGCAUUCCCCUGCUAGAACCUCAAAACAAGCUCUCAAUAUCAUUGAGGACCAAUGUAAACUUUAACCUCAGACUGACAGCAAAUAGCUGGAGAGAUUCCAG
rnacentral:snRNA from 1 species